rnacentral:rRNA from 1 species
UACGUAGGUGGCAAGCGUUGUUCGGAAUUAUUGGGCGUAAAGGGCGCGUAGGCGGUUUGCUAAGUCAGUUGUGAAAGCCCGGGGCUCAACCCCGGAGGGUCGGCUGAUACUGGUGGACUAGAGUACGGAAGAGGUAGCUGGAAUUCCCGGUGUAGCGGUGAAAUGCGUAGAUAUCAGGAGGAACACCCGUGGCGAAAGCGGCUCUCUGGGACGGUACUGACGCUGAGACGCGAAAGCGUGGGGAGCAAACAGG